rnacentral:lncRNA from 1 species
AUCCUUUGAAGUCUUUGGGUUCCCUGUUUGCUUGGAGCAUCUCCUGCAGCUCUUUGCCCGUGAGGGCAUCAGGCUUGGUGUGGGCAUGCUUCUUGAAUAUCUCCUCAAACUUUUCAGGAACUGCAAGUUUCAUAGAUGAUGUCAUUAGAUAUUAAAGUUCAUGCUAUUGAGUUAGUUUUUGUAAAUGUUAAUGAUAGAUUUAUUUUUUUGCAGGAUAUGUCAUGGCAUGGUUUUUUUACCAUGACUUGUCUUAGCAUUUUUUAGGCAAGACUUAUCUUAUCAAAUUAAUAAUCUUAUGGUAAAUUACAGUGAAAACGAAGGCAUCCAAUUCAAUAGUAUCUGCACUAUGUCCUGGUAUCCUUUUCUUUAUAUUUCCUACAUCAUGAUCAUUCUCAGGUACUGAUAUAGACUGAUUCUAUUUAUAAUAUUCAAACAUAUUUUGAUGAACUAUAGUCGUUUUUAAGUGUAGCUUUAAACAGUGGAAAAGGCAAAGCCAACUCUUCAUUCUCAACCGUUUCCUCUAAGCUUCAUCCCAUCUCACAUAAGGGAGAAAAGGAACACUAGCUAGUGUGUCUGGCAAUUCUCAUGUGUCUCGUCACAUUUUUUUUAUAGGAAGCUGAGUGAUCAGUGUUACCUGGUCAUGAGUAAAGUACAAUGACAAGUGAUUAAUUAUACUAACCCAAACUGGAUUUUUCUGCAGCUGGCACAUGGCCUAUCCGAGAGGGAUCAUAAGGAUGGUGACAGAUUGUAUAUGGAAUUGGAAAGGCCUUCCUUUGUAUAAAGUUUUUUUUGACUGUGCAGAUAAUUCUAUCGGUUAGAUAGGCUGUUGUACAAGUUUUUCUGUGGCUGCAGAUAACUAUGAGAGAUCUUUGUUCUAUUCCAGAGAGGAUAGUAAGGCAGGCCAUGCAUGUUCUAUUUGCAUCAAGAUUCGUCUUGACAGAAACAUGGGUAUGGAAUAUGAUAAAAUUACAGUGAAAACAAAGGCAUCCGACUUCUCAUUCAAUAUUUGCAUUAGCGUUUUCCUACACUUUAAUUUCUUUAAUAAAAGUUGGACACUUUGUCAUUCCAACGUCAAGAUCAUAUCACAGGUGGUUCAGAUAUGCUGGGAGAAGCUGAUCAACUAGUUCUGGGACCCUAGUUCCUGCGAUUAUUCAGUAGGGCAACCCCAUCUGAUAGAUAGAACACCCUCACUUUUUCUAGACUUAGGUGUUGCUGCAACCCAUAGUUGUAAUGUUUCUUUUGCCAGUACGUAUUUGGCUCUCAGCCUCUCACUACUUCAUCUUGCACACUUAUUAAAAUUGACUAAUCCAUAUGCUAAUUGUUAGCUAACCUGUCAUCAUGGGAAUAAUCUUUUCAACUCGUUUGGCUCCUGAUUCAGUUAACUAAUGCAGCAUCCACCUCUUGCCAUUGUUAUCUUUCAUUUUCUGCCAUGCAUUCUAUUUCGAUAUUCAUACUGAACUGUUGCAGUAGUUGAUGAGUGUUGCUUUAGAGUGUAGACAGCGGAAACGACACAUAUAACCCUUCAUCCCCAGCUAUACGUUCCUUUUAGACUUUUGUUGCUUCUAAUGUGAAGUGAUAAUGCAUCCAUCCAUCUCACAUCAGAAAAGUUGCACUAUUAUUAUUGCUUACUCUUCUUUGCCGAUUUGCAUGUCGCUUAGCUACUACUUUAUUGUUAGUGAGAUAAAUGAUCAGUGUUACCUUGUCUUUACUGACCAGUAAAGUAACAGAAAAUUCCUUUGACACCGGUAAAAUGAGAGUUCCUUUCUUGGUCCUAUAAAUUUUGAACUUCUCUAUUUGACACUAGAUUUAACUUUUAUUCCCUAUUCGACACUAUCGUCUGUUUUUAGCAGUGAAGAGUGAAAAUACUAUUUUGCCCCUUAGCAUGACAAAGCUAUCUGCAAGGAGAUGAUGCGAGGCUUGGGUCUGAUUUUGGGGAUCAGCUCAGGAAUCAUAGGGGGAUUGGGAAGAGAUUAGCAAUGUGGUGAUGCAACGGCGGACUUGAAUCUUCGAUCUAGCCAUGUGUGGUCUUGGUUUCUGGUGUUUCUAACUCAAUUUGGGCGAUGGCAUGCUUGAUUUGGUGUUGCGUUCGUUCAAUUCUGCCACCAAGGUGCUAGCCGAGAUGGAACCCAGCAGUCUGCGUCAUGUAGCACCAGCGCCAUUUUCAUCUUCUCAUUUUCAUCUUCUCGCAAGUCAUCGGCUCAUCGCAGCCUGCUGGCUGACCGAGGUUGCCUGCGCCAUCGCCGUCCGCGGUCACGACCCAUCCCUAUCCGGCCAUCCCCUGCGCAGUGCCCAGCCUCCCCAGCCCUUGAUCCACGCACUCCGCACCUGGAGAAGCAUACGUCGCCGCACCUGGAGCCGUGACUGCCUCCGCGCCGGGAGGCACGGCUGUCUCUGCGCCACCCUCACCGAGUCAACGUCCAUUGAGCCGCGAGCAUAGGCUGCCGCUGUCUCCUUUUCUUUAAAGCCGUCGUUUCGAUAUGGUGGGGAGAACAAGCGAUUGAUUUAAAAAAAUAAAUAAAUCGGUGCCUGUUGGAUGUAGCUUCCAUUGAGGGUAUUUUGGUCCAUUUAACCAGGUUCAUAUAUGAACUUAACAGAAGUAGGUAACGGAUUGGAUGGAGGUGUCAAAUAAGAAACUAAAAUUGAAGGUAGUGUCUAAUAGGGAAUUUCAAAAUUUCUAGGGUCAGAAAAAGGAAGCUCUCACUUUACCGGUGUCAAAUACGGAAUUUUCUCAAAGUACAAUGGAAACUCAACUGACCAGAGCUGGACAUUAGGCUGCGGGCGCAUGAACUAUCUGAAGGUUUCACACGGAUGGUAACAGAUGGAAGUUUUUUUAAAGAAAAAAAGUACCUUCCAUUGGCAUCGUACACGCCUGAAUCGCUUCCGUGCUUGCCCUUGUGGAUGUUCUUCACAUAAAUGGGAAACUUAAAAGGUGGAGUCUUCUGGUUCUCCUGCAGCAGCAACAUGAGAAAAAACGCGGGAAUGAGUCGGCAUCACAAGUCUUUAACACCUGGAUCGAAUCGCACUUAUGCAUGAAUGACACGUCUUUAGAGCCAUAUACAUGUCGAAAAGAUAACCAAAUUAAAAGGUGGAAGCUUUACUUGGUUGAGUGUUCGCAAUGGAAUGCGGUAGGGGAUCGACUAGUGGUAUGUCUAUAUGUAUUCCUUAACAUAUGGACCGUAGCUUUAUGCCUGCCUUUUCUUUUGCUUUUUCAAGAGAAUAGUAUCUAGUUGUAAUGCGUGCUGGAGCAUGUGUGUAUCUAUCUUCAUGUGUUAGUGAUUUUUUUUCUUGUACAGUACUUAUCCGAUCAUAUGCUUUCACUGUUUACAGCUCUUACUGAAGCUAUAUUCCGCUAUUGUUUCGAAGAGUAUAUUAGGCAUCUGCAGAUAUAGUUAGCUUA